rnacentral:sRNA from 1 species
ACUGGGUGUGGUAGCACACGCCUGUAAUCCCAACAACUUGGGAGGCUGAGGCAGGAGGAUAAUGAGUUCAAAACCAGCCUCAGCAAAAGUGAGGCACUAAGUUACUUAUUGAGACCCUGUCUCUA